UACGUAGGGUGCGAGCGUGUCCGGAUUUAUUGGGCGUAAAGAGCUCGUAGGCGGUUUGUUGCGUCGGCUGUGAAAUCCCGAGGCUCAACCUCGGGUCUGCAGUCGAUACGAGCAAACUAGAGUGUUGCAGGGGAGACUGGAAUUCCUGGUGUAGCGGUGAAAUGCGCAGAUAUCAGGAGGAACACCGGUGGCGAAGGCGGGUCUCUGGGCAACAACUGACGCUGAGGAGCGAAAGCGUGGGGAGCGAACAGG
rnacentral:rRNA from 1 species